AGGCUCCAGCGCCCCCCGCGACCCCAAAGGGAAUAAGCGGUAGAAAAUGGAUGGAUGGAUGGAUGCACACACCCCCACAUAAGCCGCUCAGCCGCCUCUCGUGCCUGUCAAACAACAAAGAGGGCAUAGUCGUGUCGCGUAUUCCAUCCUCGUACCUAAACACAUUGUUGGAAGCCGCUUGAUAACGCCUGUGCAUCACCAGUUGGAUAAUAUUCCGAUUACUCAAAAGGAUCGAUUGAGUAGCGACUACUUUCAUCGUUAUUAGUUUCCGCUGGAUGGUCACAGCUGAGCUGUGGUCACCAUGACGACAGACGAAGUAGAGAGUCACCAGCAGAAGCCAAGACAGCAGGAGGAGGCUGGCCAGGAAGCAAAGCCAUCCACUCCAGAAGAGGAGAACCUCCGACCUGGCGUCCGCAACUCUGCUGGCCGUGGCCUCUCCCGCCUCUUCUCGUCCUUCUUGAAAAGACGUUCGCAAUGCGAGAGUGAGGGAGGGGAGAAGGGGGAAAAGGAGAAAGAAGAAGCUAAAGCUCCCAUUGCUGACCCAGAGCCUGAGUUGAAGAUAGAGGGAGAGGUGGCCCCCGACCAGCACUCACUUAGCAGUGCUGAGGCCCAGGCUGCACAGGUAGAGAAAAAAAUCCCUGAAGAAGAGGGGAAGGAGGAGGGUGGGAAAGACCACGAGCUCGACAAGGAGAAACCAGAGGUCUCCACGCUGGAGAAAGAAGACGAUAACAAGAAGGAGGAGGAGGAGACGGACAAGGCAAAGGAAGGUGGCUCUGAGCGCGGCAGUAACGGAGAAAAAGAGGAGAAGGCCACAGAAGAGGAGCCUAAAACUCCCAAAGCUCCACGUCGCCCCAAAACCAUGCAGAUUAAAGUCACACUGCUGGACGACGCCCUGUAUGAGUGUGAGCUGGAUAAACAUGCCAAAGGACAGGAGCUAUUCACAAAAGUAUCAGACCACCUCAAUCUGCUGGAGAGAGACUACUAUGGUCUGGGCAUCCCCCAGAUGACCAAUGUAAAGACUUGGCUGGACCUGACCAAGGAGAUCCGCAGGCAGGUGCAAGGUGCCAACUAUAAUUUCACAUUCAAUGUGAAAUUCUAUCCACCAGAUCCAGCUCAACUGUCUGAGGACAUCACAAGGUACUACCUGUGUCUGCAGCUGCGUAAAGACAUCUUGCAAGGGCGUCUGCCCUGCUCCUUCGUCACCUUGGCCCUGCUUGGCUCCUACGCACUGCAGUCAGAACUGGGCGAGUAUGACCCCGAGGUGCAUGGCAGUGACUAUACUAAAGAGAUGAAGAUGGCCAAUGGACAGACAAAGGAGCUUGAAGACAAAAUGAUGGAACUUCACCGCACUUACAGGUCAAUGAGUCCAGCUCAGGCCGAUAUGAUGUUCCUUGAGAAUGCAAAGAAGCUGUCCAUGUAUGGAGUUGACCUCCACCAGGCGAAGGAUCUAGAUGGUGUUGACAUCAUGCUGGGAGUUUGUUCCAAUGGGCUUCUGGUUUAUAAGGACAAAUUGAGGAUCAACCGUUUUCCCUGGCCCAAAGUCCUGAAGGUGUCAUACAAGCGCAGCAGCUUCUUUAUCAAAAUACGUCCAUCAGAGGUUGAACAGUAUGAGAGCGCCAUUGGCUUUAAACUUCCAAAUUACAAAGCAGCCAAAAAACUGUGGAAAGUGUGUGUAGAACAUCACACCUUUUUCAGACUGACAUCUACUGAAAUGGUCACCACUCCCAGGAAGUUCUUGGCGUUGGGCUCCAAAUUUCGCUACAGUGGUCGAACUCAGGCUCAGACCAAACAAGCCAGCUCUCUUAUCGACAGACCUGCUCCUCUUUUCCAGCGGUCAUCCAGCAAGAGGAAUUCUCGCAGCAUGGAUGGAGCCAUGGCGUCCACUCCGGACAACAAAUCAAGCCGCCCAGUGAGUGCGCCCAUCAUGUCGCCUGUGUCUCCUGGGGACAACACGCCAUCCCCGCUGCUACACAACCUUCAUCUCGCCACGUGCAGCAACAGUUCAACACCUAAGUUCCGACGCUCUGUAGAAAGGAAAGCCGAACUCAAAGGCUCCACCAAAAGUCGGAGCCCCAAACCUGAGUCCACUCCAGAAAUCAGGACAUUGGCCAGAAGAGAACGGAGGCAUUCCCCCUCUGUGACCAAGACCAACGGGGAACGAGAGAAAAAGAGCCAGCAUUCUCCUCAGGACAAAACAAAGAUGGAGAUGAUGCGAGUGAGGAAGAAACGAGCUAAGAAACUUGAGGGUGAAACUAUUUAUAUCAGACAUAGCAAUUUAAUGUUGGAGCUUCAUCCCAAAGGCUUGCAAUGCACCAUUUUCCUCUCUGACUCUGAUGACGUGGAUAAGACCCAAACAGAGAUCAUGCGUCACCACACAAGUAUCAGUGAGCUGAAGAGGAGUUUCAUGGAGUCGGGUCCUGAACCUCAACCCAGCGAGUGGGACAAGCGCCUUUCCACCAACUCGCCUUUCCGCACAGCAAACAUCAAUGGCCAAAUACAGCCAGCGUCUCCAUUGUUGAAGACCCAGACAAUCACCAUCUCAGAUGUCACCAAUUCUCUCCGAGGAACUGUGGCCUACAAGGACAUUCCCUUAGUUCACACCGAGACCAAGACCAUUACGUACGAGUCAGCGCAGGUUUCUUUCCCACAGCCGGUGGACACCUUGGCAGACCGGGACUCAGGAGUGCUACUGAGUGCCCAAACCAUCACAUCCGAGACCAUCAGCACCACCACCACUACCCAGAUCACCAAGACUGUCAAAGGAGGAAUCUCUGAAACUCGCAUAGAGAAGAGGAUCGUCAUAACUGGAGACACUGAAAUUGAUCAUGAUAAGGCUCUGGCUCAGGCUAUUAAAGAAGCAAAAGAACAACACCCAGAUAUGUCAGUCACCAAAGUGGUUGUCCACCAAGAAACGGAGAUUUCUCCCGAGUAAGACAAGGCCAUUCUCUGUAAGGAAAUCCACGCAUCUCUUAAUACAUGAGGCCCCAACGCACAAAACCACACUGUGGAGGGAGAUGUGGCCAGCGCUGCCUGCAGGAGCAAAGGUCACCGCCUCUGUCCAUGGUGCUGAGGACAGAGCACCAUCAGACGGGGGCGUGGCAGUGCUGGCGGCGAGACACAGCAGGCAGCGGACGGGAGCAGGAGGGGAGAGAGGAUACGGACGUGACUGAAAAGUCACGUUCUACUGGAGAGAAAACUUUUGUUGAACACAUGCUUAUUAAAAAACCCUGUUAAAACCUGCACGCUGGGCUCCGGUGCCGUGUCUGACAGUGGGACUGCGAGGAAGCAACUUGCACACACACUUAUCACAUGCUUAAGCAAACAACAGAGAAGUUGUGAUGCUAAUUUUAGGGGACUGCUGCUCAGUGGACAAUUAUCGAAUUGUCAAUUUAAAAAAAAAAAAAUUUUUAAGUAAUUUUGUCUUUAAAAAUACUUUUCCAAAGGCGCCUUCUGAAAAUGAGGCGUUGUGUGAUGACAGUUUGAACUUUUUUUAUUUUCUUGCGUUCUGUACCAUUUCGGGUCCUGGUGCUCUUAUUGUGGUUCUACUUCCUGUUAGACCCCUGGUUUUGUUGCACCUUCCCUAUCAGUUUAGUUUUCUUCGCGCACACCUGUUUUCUCUUUCUAAUUAAGUCUAUUUAGGUUCACCUGUUGCUCUUUGCCAGGGUUGGAUUAUCGCCCUUUGUUAGUGUGUACGAGUACCUAUGCUGCACUAGCCUUUUGUUUCUGCUGUUUUGUGCUAACUUGGUUAAUAUUUUUUGACUACUCACUGCAGACUUCAUGAGAGCCGACAAACAUAAUAAAACAUCACUUACUGUACUAAGUCUGCUGUCUUUAUGAUGCCGACUGCAAGGAUGUUCAUAUAUCCCUGUUUAGGUGAAAACAAAGGGCUCGAACAAAGCGUCUUUUCGUGUCAUUCUCGCCAUUCCCGGGUCUAAAUUGGCUGUCAAAGUCGACCAAGUUGUCGGAAUACGUCCUCAUCCUUCUACUAUCCAGGUAAGAGACAUGAUUUAUUAACUACAAAAAACGUUCACUCGCAAAGGAUGCAAGGAAACGGCUGACUCGAUGACGUAAACAUAAGCACACAAGCUAGAAAUAGUUUGUCAGCGUUAGCGCUUAUAAUAACAAUAUCACUAAUACCGUAUUUUUCGGACUAUAAGUCGCAGUUUUUUUUCAUAGUUUGGCAGGGGAUGCGACUUGUGUGUGAAAUUAUUAACACAUUACCGUAAAAUAUCAAAUAAUAUUAUUUAGCUCAUUCACGUAAGAGACUAGACGUAUAAGAUUUCAUGGGAUUUAGCGAUUAGGAGUGACAGAUUGUUUGGUAAACGUAUAGCAUGUUCUAUAUGUUAUAGUUAUUUGAAUGACUCUUACCAUAAUAUGUUACGUUAACAUACCAGGCACGUUCUCAGUUGGUUAUUUAUGCGUCAUAUAACUUACACUUAUUCAGCCUGUUGUUCACUAUUCUUUAUUUUAAAUUGCCUUUCAAAUGUCUAUUCUUGGUGUUGGGUUUUAUCAAAUAAAUUUCCCCAAAAAUGCGACUUAUACUCCAGUGCGACUUAUAUGUUUUUUUCCUUCUUUAUUAUGCAUUUUCGGCCGGUGAGACUUAUACUCCGGAGCGACUUAUAGUCCGAAAAAUACGGUACUUGGUUAAUAUUCAGGUCACAAGAUGUAAAUGGAGUAUUUUUGGCGGUUUUUGGAUGUUUUUUCAUUGGGUUUUAUGGCCAGAAUAGAGGACCUCCCAAGCGGACUUUCAUUUACGAGUUAGAAUGCAUUGAAAGAAAUACAACAAUACAUCCGUCAUGUCUUUCAUAACGACUGUGAACGAUAGGAAAACUUCCAAAAAAAGUGCAGUACCCUUUUAAGGGCUAUCAACACGCUCUAAUUCAGUUUAUGCUGACAGGUUAUGCCUGGGUCUUUCCACUCUGUUAAAAAAGAUUUAUCCGGUAAAUGUUUGGAUAACGUGGGAGUUUAUGUGAGCCCCCACUAAGAAAUAGCCUUGAUGUGUUUGACUCUUAGUGCGUUCAGUAGUCAGUGCACGUAGGUGAGCAGAGCUUGAAAGCAUGAGCUCACCGCCAAGAUCAACGCAAGAAUCCUUAGCGUCCUAUAAAACAAAUUCAAUACCCAAAAGGUCAUAAAAAUGAUCUCGGUCAAAAUCCAACUCUUCACCUUUCUGACAGGAAAAAUAUGGAAGGAAAAAAAGCAAUAUGCAUGGGAAAUGAAGUCAACGUUUUGCUGCGCCAGCAUUCUCUUAGUGAUGUAAUCAUUUUAGUCCUCUGUGUAGCUGUAAUGAGAUGAUCCUUAUAUAAUGCAGCAGGCCACUAAACAUAUCAACGACUUUUUGGACAAAGGGUUUUAAUGUACCGUAUUUUCCGGACUAGAUAUGUCCGAUAAUGGCUUUUUGCCGAUAUCCGAUAUUCCGAUAUUGUCCAACUCUUUAAUUACCAAUACCGAUAUCAACUGAUACAUACAGUCGUGGAAUUUACACAUUAUUAUGCCUAAUUUGGACAACCGGGUAUGGUGAAGAUAAGGUACUUUUAAAAAAAUUUAUAAAAUAAAAUAAGAUAAAUAAAUUAAAAACAUUUUCUUGAAUAAAAAAGAAAGUAAAACAAUAUAAAAACAGUUACAUAGAAAUUAGUAAUUAAUGAAAAUGAGUCAAAUUAACUGUUAAAGGUUAGUACUAUUAGUGGAUCAGCAGCACGCACAAUCAUGUGUGCUUACGGACUGUAUCCCUUGCAGACUGUAUUGAUCUAUAUUGAUAUAUAAUGUAGCAACCAGAAUAUUAAUAACAGAAAGAAACAACCCUUUUGUGUGAAUGAGUGUAAAUGGGGGAGGGAGGUUUUUUGGGUUGGUGCACUAAUUGUAAGUGUAUCUUGUGUUUUUUAUGUUGAUUUAAUUAAAAAAAAAAAAAAAAAAAAAAAA